GUCCACGCCGUAAACGGUGGGCGCUAGAUGUGGGGACCCUUCCAUGGUUUCUGCGUCGCAGCUAACGCAUUAAGCGCCCCGCCUGGGGAGUACGGUCGCAAGACUAAAACUCAAAGGAAUUGACGGGGGCCCGCACAAGCAGCGGAGCAUGCGGCUUAAUUCGAUGCAACGCGAAGAACCUUACCUAGACUUGACAUAUACGGAAAACAUGCAGAGAUGUAUGGUCCUAACGGGCCGUUUACAGGUGGUGCAUGGUUGUCGUCAGCUCGUGUCGUGAGAUGUUGGGUUAAGUCCCGCAACGAGCGCAACCCUCGUUCUAUGUUGCCAGCACGUAAAGGUGGGGACUCAUAGGAGACUGCCGGGGUCAACUCGGAGGAAGGUGGGGAUGACGUCAAAUCAUCAUGCCCCUUAUGUCUAGGGCUGCACGCAUGCUACAAUGGCUGGUACAAAGGGCUGCGAUACCGCAAGGUGGAGCGAAUCCCAAAAAGCCAGUCUCAGUUCGGAUUGGGGUCUGCAACUCGACCCCAUGAAGUUGGAGUUGCUAGUAAUCGCAGAUCAGCAACGCUGCGGUGAAUACGUUCCCGGGCCUUGUACACACCGCCCGUCACGUCACGAAAGUCGGUAACACCACGAAGCCAGUGGCCUAACCGUAAGGAAGGAGCCGUCGAAG
rnacentral:rRNA from 1 species